rnacentral:rRNA from 1 species
UACGUAGGUGGCAAGCGUUGUCCGGAUUUACUGGGCGUAAAGGGUGCGUAGGCGGAUGUUUAAGUGGGAUGUGAAAUACCCGGGCUCAACUUGGGUGCUGCAUUCCAAACUGGAUAUCUAGAGUGCAGAAGAGGAGAGUGGAAUUCCAUGUGUAGCGGUGAAAUGCGUAGAUAUAUGGAGGAACACCAGUGGCGAAGGCGACUGCCUGGGGAGUAACUGACGCUGAGGCGCGAAAGCUGGGGGAACAAAC